AUCGCUUCUCGGCCUUUUGGCUAAGAUCAAGUGUAGAAUGGUAAUGUAUGUUUUGUGCCAUUGUAUGUUAGAAGUAUGUGAUCUGUUCUUUUCACUUUGAUUUUACAGGGGAUAACAAUUAAGAGAUUGUAUGAGUCUUAGAAGACACUUUGAACUUUUAAACACUU
ensembl:snRNA LOC120093487 U2 spliceosomal RNA